GUGCAAUUGUCAUUGACAUCGCUAAACAAUACAGCACACUUAGACUUGAUCCACAGUCAUCCAUUACUCAAAGGGCUAAAUGAGUGUCCCAUAAUUUUGUUCAGCUACAAAAUCUCCCCCCUCCGACCCUCUAUUUUCCAUUUAGUUAGAAACGACCACAUAAAACAUAAAAGUCUCGUUGAAGGAAAGCAGUAACAUUAAUGAG